AGGACGAACGCUGGCGGCGUGCUUAACACAUGCAAGUCGAACGGGAUCCUUCGGGGUCUAGUGGCGAACGGGUGAGUAACACGUGAGCAACCUGCCCUUGGCUCUGGGAUAGCCUCCGGAAACGGGGAUUAAUACCGGACAUGACCUUCUCCCGCAUGGGGGAGGGUGGAAAGUUUUUCGGCCAGGGAGGGGCUCGCGGCCUAUCAGCUUGUUGGGGGGGUAACGGCCCACCAAGGCGACGACGGGUAGCCGGCCUGAGAGGGCGACCGGCCACACUGGGACUGAGACACGGCCCAGACUCCUACGGGAGGCAGCAGUGGGGAAUAUUGCACAAUGGGGGAAACCCUGAUGCAGCGACGCCGCGUGCGGGAUGAAGGCCUUCGGGUUGUAAACCGCUUUCAGCAGGGACGAAGCGAGAGUGACGGUACUGCAGAAGAAGCGCCGGCUAACUACGUGCCAGCAGCCGC
rnacentral:rRNA from 1 species